rnacentral:rRNA from 1 species
ACCGCAUACGUCCUACGGGAGAAAGCAGGGGACCUUCGGGCCUUGCGCUAUCAGAUGAGCCUAGGUCGGAUUAGCUAGUUGGUGGGGUAAAGGCUCACCAAGGCGACGAUCCGUAACUGGUCUGAGAGGAUGAUCAGUCACACUGGAACUGAGACACGGUCCAGACUCCUACGGGAGGCAGCAGUGGGGAAUAUUGGACAAUGGGCGAAAGCCUGAUCCAGCCAUGCCGCGUGUGUGAAGAAGGUCUUCGGAUUGUAAAGCACUUUAAGUUGGGAGGAAGGUUCGUUACCUAAUACGUGACGAAUUUGACGUUACCGACAGAAUAAGCACCGGCUAACUCUGUGCCAGCAGCCGCGGUAAUACAGAGGGUGCAAGCGUUAAUCGGAAUUACUGGGCGUAAAGCGCGCGUAGGUGGUUUGUUAAGUUGGAUGUGAAAUCCCCGGGCUCAACCUGGGAACUGCAUCCAAAACUGGCAAGCUAGAGUA